rnacentral:rRNA from 1 species
AUAAGGGGGUAGAGCACUGAAUGGGCUAGGGCAUACACCAAUGUACCAAACCCUAUCAAACUCCGAAUACCUUAUAUGUAAUCAUAGCAGUCAGGCGGCGAGUGAUAAAAUCCGUCGUCAAGAGGGAAACAACCCAGACUAACAGCUAAGGUCCCCAAAUCUUACUUAAGUGGAAAACGAUGUGAAGUUACUUAAACAACCAGGAGGUUGGCUUAGAAGCAGCCAUCCUUUAAAGAAAGCGUAAUAGCUCACUGGUCUAGUGAUUUUGCGCGGAAAAUAUAACGGGGCUAAAGUAAGUACCGAAGCUUUAGACUUGCACACAACUUAGAUGAUUUAAAUUUAAAAUAUGAGAAACUAAAUUUAUUUUUAUUUAUUUUUGCUUAUCUUUAUUCAUUUUUAUAGAGUAAAGAUAAAAACAAAAACUUCGUAAAAAUAAUAAAAUAUAGUAAAAAACAAUAAAAAUAUUCUUAGAUUAAAAGAGUUAAGUCGUUUAAGUUGUGUGCAAUGUGGUAGGAGAGCGUUCUAUUUGCGUCGAAGGUAUACCGACAAGGAGUGCUGGAGCGAAUAGAAGUGAGCAUGCAGGCAUGAGUAGCGAUAAUUA